GUGCUCACUUCGGCAGCGCAUAUACUAAAAUUGGAAUGACACACAGAAGAUUAGCAUGGUCCCUGCACAAGGAUGACAUGCAAAUUCGUGAAGCGUUCCAUAUUUUU